AUUGAACGCUGGCGGCAUGCUUUACACAUGCAAGUCGAACGGUAACAGGCCUUCGGGUGCUGACGAGUGGCGAACGGGGGAGUAAUGCAUCGGAACGUACCCAGAGGUGGGGGAUAACGCAGCGAAAGCUGUGCUAAUACCGCAUGUGAUCUGAGGAUGACAGCGGGGGACCGAGCAGCAAUGUUUGGCCUCGCGCCUUUGGAGCGGCCGAUGUCGGAUUAGCUAGUUGGUGGGGUAAAGGCCUACCAAGGCGACGAUCCGUAGCUGGUCUGAGAGGACGACCAGCCACACUGGGAGUGAGACACGGCCCAGACUCCUACGGGAGGCAGCAGUGGGGAAUUUUGGACAAUGGGCGCAAGCCUGAUCCAGCAAUGCCGCGUGCGGGAAGAAGGCCUUCGGGUUGUAAACCGCUUUUGGCAGGAACGAAACGGUGUCCGCUAAUACCGGGCGCUAAUGACGGUACCUGCAGAAUAAGCACCGGCUAACUACGUG
rnacentral:rRNA from 1 species